CGCGGCCGGAAUUGGCUCACUUGGCCCGGAAGUCCCGCCUCCUUCUGGACGCUUGCUAUGUGACGCCACUUGGAAGGGACUCAUGGCGGAAGUGGACUAAGACAUCAUGUUGCCUCAAGUUUAAUUAGAAAUCGCGUGCCUUGUGAAGAAUGGACACUCAGUAGAUGCUUAUUGAUGAACCUGUUGGUUGAGGAUAACUCGCUAACUUUUCUGAGCUUUGUUGGAAAAACUCAGGUCACUGUAUCUCUAUGCAUUACAGAAAAUGGCUAGUUAAAAACUUGUCAAGGUAAGUGAAAUAGCUGUAUGUAUAAAUUGCUUGUCGGGAUCUCUCUAAUAAGUUACCAUACUUACAUAAGAAAUGAAAUUGUUUAUCAGGCAAAUAAUUCUUGGCAUUAACUUUGUGGUGGUUAAAGAAUGUGAAAUUCUGUGAUGUAGCUUAUUCAAACUGUCUGAAUACUUUAACACUGUGUUU